AUAAUGCAAGUUCUGUUUGUGGUUUUAGGGGAGAGAUUAUAUUUCGGAAAAUAUGUACACUAAAAGCUUAAGGCUUCCAAAGAGGAAAUAUAAUAGAUUUUUUUAGACACAGUUUUAGUUAUCAAACUUACAAAUUGUCGUUAGGGUGAAAUGGCUUGGACAAUGGAAAGAAGAUAUGGUCAUCAAAGGAAAGAAGCUGGGUCAUGUUGUGUUUGUUUCGUAUCAAUGUUGUUUUUGGUUGCCGUUGUCCAAACUUCAAUGAUUAAGAGGAUUAUAUUAUUGAGGCUCCAUACAUUUUCAGGUGUUCAGUGCAUUUAGGAAUAUAGGUCAGUGGA
rnacentral:misc_RNA from 1 species